GGCCGGGAAAUAGGAGCAGGCAGCGGACUUAAAAUCCGCCAAGUGUCGGUUCGAAUCCGACGGGCA
rnacentral:tRNA from 1 species